UACAGAGGUCUCAAGCGUUGUUCGGAUUCAUUGGGCGUAAAGGGUGCGUAGGUGGCCAGGUAAGUUCGGUGUGAAAGCUCGGAGCUUAACUCCGAAAUGGCAUUGAAUACUAUCUGGCUAGAGGGUCGGAGGGGAGACUGGAAUUCUCGGUGUAGCAGUGAAAUGCGUAGAUAUCGAGAGGAACACCAGUGGCGAAGGCGAGUCUCUGGACGACACCUGACACUGAGGCACGAAAGCCAGGGGAGCAAACAGG
rnacentral:rRNA from 1 species